CAACACAAUAUUAGUUUCCACACUAACAGACGGCUCCAAUUUCCAAUGAAGGACUUCCUACAAAGUGACUGGUGAACUCUGUGAGCAGGCUUCAUGUUAUUUUUCAAGAGCUGCCUGCUGUGGUCAGAAAUUGAGUAAAACCCUUAAAGCUUACCAGCAAUGUACCAGCAAAUGAAGAAGAGGGUGGUCACGGACAAACAAAGCAGGUUACAUGACCUGUA